CAAAAAAUAGUUUAUUAAAAAUUUUAAUUUUGGAGAUUAAAGAUAUAAAAAAUUUAUUUUUUUGA
rnacentral:tRNA from 1 species